GGGAAAAUAAGGCUAUGGAAAUUAUCCUCCAAAAAUCCAUGCGUUCACAAGCGAGUUGGGACUCUGCCAAAAUUUAAAGAUUAUUUUAAGAGCUCAAUAAAACCCAGUAAUUAUAUCGAAAUUAGACGUAACAGAAACAUGGUUUGGCGCAAGAAUUUUGGUGCCAUUUCAAGUCUUAGCUUAAGCGAAGAUAAGACGCUUCUUUACUCUGCGUCAGGGGACAAAACUUUCAAAGUAUGGAGAAUUUCAGACUCAAAAUGCCUCGAAUCCGUCGCCGCACACAAUGAUGCAGUGAACUCUAUUGUGGCAGGAUUUGAUGGUUUGGUGUUCACGGGCUCAGCGGAUGGAAGUAUCAAGGUUUGGCGAAGAGAAUUACAAGGGAAAGGGACAAAGCAC
rnacentral:misc_RNA from 1 species